UUACCCGGCCUCAAUUCUGGAUCUCUCACUCUCAGCAAAUCAACAUCCAUGAUACAAUAUACGUCUCAAUUAGAAGCUAGAAUCGAAUUCAAGGUUCAUGUAUUAGUUGUAGGUGGUGCUAACAGGGAAUAUAGAAGAUUGGGGUUGAUUUGGAAUGGAAUUGUAAGCUAGAAUGGUGAUGGUGGUGCUGAGUAUGUCGCGUUAUGUGUUCUUAAACAACAAAAAUAGAAGAGUGGAAUGUUGGUGGUAGUUACAGGGGGGUUGAUGAUUUGAAGUUGCUACUGGUGGUGCUGUGAGAUGCUAAUGGGAGAAAGAAGAAUGGGGUUUCUGCUGUCUAUGUAGUUGAAUGUUGCAUCUGAGUCUGAAAUUGAAUUGAAGAUGGGCUGAUCUGAAGUUCGAAUUAGAUGAGAAGAAAUGGAAGUCAGGGGUUCGGUGAUGUUGUGAGUCUGUGAUGAACAUUGGAUUUGAGAUGAAAGUGUUGUGGUGUUGUUUCAAGAUUAAUGUCACACGGGUUGUAUAUGCAGGCGCGUGAGCUGAUGGUGCUAGGAGUUGUGUAAAUAUUAGAAAAGUGAAGGUUAUUAUAGGAAAUAAGACGUCAAUUUUAUUUUUUAUUUUUGUUAAUUUACUGUUUUAAUAUUUUCUAAA